UACGGAGGGUGCAAGCGUUAUCCGGAUUCACUGGGUUUAAAGGGUGCGUAGGCGGAUAGGUAAGUCCGUGGUGAAAUCCUGCAGCUUAACUGCAGAACUGCCACGGAUACUAUUUAUCUUGAAUGUUAUGGAGGUUAGCGGAAUAUGUCAUGUAGCGGUGAAAUGCUUAGAUAUGACAUAGAACACCAAUUGCGAAGGCAGCUAACUACGCGAUAAUUGACGCUGAUGCACGAAAGCGUGGGGAUCAAACAGG
rnacentral:rRNA from 1 species